rnacentral:rRNA from 1 species
CGGCGGACGGGUGAGUAAUGUCUGGGAAACUGCCUGAUGGAGGGGGGUAACUACUGGAAACGGUAGCUAAUACCGCAUAACGUCGCAAGACCAAGAGGGGGACCUUCGGGCCUCUUGCCAUCGGAUGUGCCCAGAUGGGAUUAGCUAGUAGGUGGGGUAACGGCUCACCUAGGCGACGAUCCCUAGCUGGUCUGAGAGGAUGACCAGCCACACUGGAACUGAGACACGGUCCAG